UUGCCCUACGGGGCGCAGCAGUGAGGAAUAUUGGUCAAUGGGAGAGAUCCUGAACCAGCCAAGCCGCGUGAGGGAUGACGGCCCUACGGGUUGUAAACCUCUUUUGUCGGGGAGCAAGACCCGCCUCGUGCAGGCGGAGCGAGAGUACCCGAAGAAAAAGCAUCGGCUAACUCCGUGCCAGCAGCCGCGGUAAUACGGAGGAUGCGAGCGUUAUCCGGAUUUAUUGGGUUUAAAGGGUGCGCAGGCGGACCAUCAAGUCAGCGGUAAAAUCGUGGGGCCCAACCCCAUCCCGCCGUUGAAACUGG
rnacentral:rRNA from 1 species